AGAGUUUGAUCCUGGCUCAGGACGAACGCUGGCGGCGUGCUUAACACAUGCAAGUCGAACGGAAAGGCCCUUCGGGGUACUCGAGUGGCGAACGGGUGAGUAACACGUGGGUGAUCUGCCCUGCACUUUGGGAUAAGCCUGGGAAACUGGGUCUAAUACCGAAUAUGAUCAUGGCCUGCAUGGGUUGUGGUGGAAAGCUUUUGCGGUGUGGGAUGGGCCCGCGGCCUAUCAGCUUGUUGGUGGGGUAAUGGCCUACCAAGGCGACGACGGGUAGCCGGCCUGAGAGGGUGACCGGCCACACUGGGACUGAGAUACGGCCCAGACUCCUACGGGAGGCAGCAGUGGGGAAUAUUGCACAAUGGGCGCAAGCCUGAUGCAGCGACGCCGCGUGAGGGAUGACGGCCUUCGGGUUGUAAACCUCUUUCAGUAGGGACGAAGCGCAAGUGACGGUACCUAUAGAAGAAGGACCGGCCAACUACGUGCCAGCAGCCGCGGUAAUACGUAGGGUCCGAGCGUUGUCCGGAAUUACUGGGCGUAAAGAGCUCGUAGGUGGUUUGUCGCGUUGUUCGUGAAAACUCACAGCUCAACUGUGGGCGUGCGGGCGAUACGGGCAGACUUGAGUACUGCAGGGGAGACUGGAAUUCCUGGUGUAGCGGUGGAAUGCGCAGAUAUCAGGAGGAACACCGGUGGCGAAGGCGGGUCUCUGGGCAGUAACUGACGCUGAGGAGCGAAAGCGUGGGGAGCGAACAGGAUUAGAUACCCUGGUAGUCC
rnacentral:rRNA from 1 species